GCAUGCUGGCUGAGUGGUAAAGCACUUUGCUUCCAAAGUGGGGAGUUCCGGGUUCAAAUCCUGGUGCA
rnacentral:tRNA from 1 species